UGGGAGUAUAGCUCAUUUGGUAGAGCUCUCGACCGAUAAUCGAGCGGUGACUGGUUCGAGUCCAGUUACUCCCACCAA
rnacentral:tRNA from 4 species